GGGGUUGUGACUCAGUGGUAGAGCUCUUGUCUCACAUUCAGGGGGCACUGGGUUCAAUCCUCAGCACCACA
rnacentral:tRNA from 1 species